rnacentral:misc_RNA from 1 species
UUUCCGUAGGUGAACCUGCGGAAUGAUCAUUCAUAGUAAAGUGUUUUAUGGCACUUUUUAAAAAUCCAUAUCCACCUUGUGUGCAAUGUUAGAUCUCGUCAAUCUUGGCGAGAUUUUUAUACAUCAACUCAUUCUUUAACUAAUUUGUCUGAAAAAUAUUAUGAAUACUUAAUUCAAAAUACAACUUUCAACAACGGAUCUCUUGGCUCUC